UACGUAGGGUGCAAGCGUUGUCCGGAAUUAUUGGGCGUAAAGAGCUCGUAGGCGGUUCGUCGCGUCGGCUGUGAAAACCUGAGGCUCAACCUCAGGCCUGCAGUCGAUACGGGCGGACUUGAGUACUGCAGGGGAGACUGGAAUUCCUGGUGUAGCGGUGAAAUGCGCAGAUAUCAGGAGGAACACCGGUGGCGAAGGCGGGGUCUCUGGGCAGUAACUGACGCUGGAGGAGCGAAAAGCCGUGGGGGAGCGAACAGG
rnacentral:rRNA from 1 species